rnacentral:sRNA from 1 species
GCAAGAAACUUCGUAGGCUGGCCUCAAUUCUCCUCCCACCAGCCUAACCCUGCACACUGGGCUUUGAGCACCUGGGAGAAACUCGGAAAGCUGUACUGGUUGGUGACGCAAAAUGUGGAUGCCUUGCACACCAAGGCGGGCAGUCGGCGCCUGACAGAGCUUCACGGAUGCAUGCACAGAGGAGCAAGUCCGGAGCUUUCAGGUCCCAACCUGCGUUCAAUGUGGAGGCCGUCUGAAACCAGAUGUCAUUUUCUUCGGGGACACAGUGAACCCUGACAAGGUUGAUUUUGUGCACAAGCGUGUAAAAGAAGCCGACUCCCUCUUGGUGGUGGGAUCAUCCUUGCAGGUAUACUCCGGUUACAGGUUUAUCCUCACUGCCUGGGAGAAGAAGCUCCCGAUUGCAAUACUGAACAUUGGACCCACACGGUCAGAUGACUUGGCAUGUCUGAAACUGAAUUCUCGUUGUGGAGAGUUGCUGCCUUUGAUAGACCCACGCUGACCACAGCCUGAUAUUCCAGAACCUGGAACAGGGACUUUCACUUGAAUCUUGCUGCUAAAGGUAAAUGCCUUCUCAGAUGACAGAUUCCAGUUCCCAUUCGACAGAGUAGGGUGUACUGACAAAGUAUAGAAGGUUCUAGGUAACUUAAUGU